AGUGAACGCUGGCGGUAGGCCUAACACAUGCAAGUCGAACGGCAGCACAGUAAGAGCUUGCUCUUACUGGUGGCGAGUGGCGGACGGGUGAGGAAUACAUCGGAAUCUACUUUUUCGUGGGGGAUAACGUAGGGAAACUUACGCUAAUACCGCAUACGACCUACGGGUGAAAGCAGGGGAUCUUCGGACCUUGCGCGAUUGAAUGAGCCGAUGUCGGAUUAGCUAGUUGGCGGGGUAAAGGCCCACCAAGGCGACGAUCCGUAGCUGGUCUGAGAGGAUGAUCAGCCACACUGGAACUGAGACACGGUCCAGACUCCUACGGGAGGCAGCAGUGGGGAAUAUUGGACAAUGGGCGCAAGCCUGAUCCAGCAAUACCGCGUGGGUGAAGAAGGCCUUCGGGUUGUAAAGCCCUUUUGUUGGGAAAGAAAAGCAGCAGGUUAAUACCCCGCUGUUCUGACGGUACCCAAAGAAUAAGCACCGGCUAACUUCGUG
rnacentral:rRNA from 1 species